AACACUCCAAAUGCAUGUCUUUGAAUUAAAAUGACAUAUACAUAUUACUUAGCUACUUAAUGUAAUUGUUUAACAUAGUAGCCUUCUCAAGGUGGCUAUGUUAUUACGCCAAAUCAAUAUUGGUAGAACGAUUUACUUAUUUUAAACUUUUUUAAAAAAUUAAAUAUAUGUUUUAAACACUAAAACAAGAGAAUAUGCAGAUGACACGACUACAGAACAAACAAGUGAUGAAUGAAAUUCUAUUUUUGAUAAACCAUUUAAGAUUCAUCGAAAAUUUUGUCUUCUAUCUCAUUCCAAAAAUUUAAAAUAUUGUCUCAUAAAGAUAAUAAUAAAUAACAAUAAAUUUUAUGAACAUAUCGUAAUGAAGAUGAUAGUAAUCAUAUUGAUUAUAAUUUUUUAAUAGUUUUGAAACAAGGAUGUGAAAGUGUUUGUCCUUUUGUUCAUAUUUUUUUAAUAUUCAUCUUUGAAGGCUCAUAUUAAAAAUAUUAUAAAUUAUUUCCAUUAUAUUGUGAUCAUGUUAAAUAAUGAACUCUAUUACUAACCAAUAAAUGAUUUCUUUUUAAAUAUGUCUUAUGACACUCGUUAUAAUUACAAAGAAAUUGCAAUAGUGAAUUCAUCUAUUUUAGAAUAAUUACAAAAAAAUAAUGCUGACAAAUAUUUUAAAAAACUAAACUAAAUAAUAAAAAACUUAAUGUAGAUACUUUAAAUUUUUUGCAAGUAAUUUCAUCCUGAAUAUUCUAAACAUUUCAAAGUUUACCAAAAAUAAUCAUGCAUAAAAGUACUACGUAGACACCUAAAUUCUCACGAGAUUACAAAAUAGUGAGAAAAGUAAUAGAAAAAGAGCAUCGUAAAUAAAAUGAGGGAUAAAUAUUGAUAUGACUUAAACAAGUUAUUAUAUAUAAAAGAAAACAUAAUUCAAGAAUUAAAAAUGAAAAUAAUUUUAUCAUAAUCUAUAGGUUGAAAUUUGUAUUUCAUGAAAAACUUUAUUUAUUUUUUGUUUUAAAAUUCCGUAUUAUAGGCUAAGCUCAGAACCCUUCGAACACCCUAAAGACUCAUAAAAUACAAGUAGAAACCACCAUUAUGCAAUUACCAUGGUGCAUUGAUAAAUGCAUUUGCUAACUAACUUGCUACUAAGUGUUACAUGAGAUGUACCCAUAAAAUGUAUGCAUUACAUGACUAUCCCUACUAAUUUCAUCUAAUGUAAUGAAAUAUCAAUUAAUUUUACAUUAUUGAAUGUCUUUUAUCAUUAAUAAAAUAUAUUUUAGUUUAUAUAUGUUAUUUUAUAACACCCUUUUAUUUUUAAAGAAUACGUUUUCACUGCCAAUUGAAAGUUGCAAAGUACUACUACUUUUUUUACAUUAGUACUAUUAAUUUUUCUUACAUUAAGAAAGUUACAUUCAAUUAUACAAUAGAUAAUGGGACUGGUUAUUUGGACCUAAUUUUGAAAGAUUUGAGUGUAUUUAGUUAAGUUCAUAAAAACAAACAAAUCAAGAAAAACUAUAAAAUAUACUAUACAUCUUGUCAAUACUUAUAAACAACUUUUGAAUAUAAUUUAUUAUUGGAGAAACACAACGUCUCUAAAGAUUUAUAUAAUGUUACACUUUUUCUCUUAAAAAUUUACUUUAUAGAGACGAAUUAAGUAAAAAUUUCGUUUUAUUAUGAUAUCAAGAAGUUAGUAUCAGAUACCAUAUUUCAUUCCAAAUUCUAAUUCUAUUACUUAAGUACACAUAGACAACACUUGAAAUUAUUAGAAUAAGAUUCUAAAUAAUAACAUUUACAUUAUUGAUUCGUUAAUGUUAUUAUUUUGAAUAAGAUCCUAAAUCAUAAUAUUAACAAUGUUGAUUUGUUAGUUUCUUUAUGAUAAAGUUUAUUCACUUAAAUUGUAACGUAUAGAUAUUUAAGUUAUUUUAACUCUAAAAUUCUAAAAUAUAAUGUAUUGAUAUCAUAAUAUGUUGCUUUAAGAAAUGACCAUGAAAAUAGGAAAUAAAGAAAAUGACAUUUUAUAUAGACAGAGAUGGGUUAAAGUUAUGAGAAGCAAAACUGAUUGUAAAAAUAAAGUCGAGCUACUUUUAUUAGAAACAUGAAACCUAUUAGAUGGAUACUAGGCAAAAGAGUUGGGUUUGCUUUGAACAUUAUAGGAUGGGUUGAAACACUCCAAAUGCAUGUCUUUGAAUUAAAAUGACAUAUACAUAUUACUUAGCUACUUAAUGUAAUUGUUUAACAUAGUAGCCUUCUCAAGGUGACUAUGUUAUUACGCCAAAUCAACAUUGGUAGAACGAUUUACUUAUUUUAAACUUUUUUUAAAAAUUAAAUAUAUGUUUUAAACACUAAACCAAGAGAAUAUGCAGAUGACACGACUACAAAACAAACAAGCGAUGAAUGAAAUUCCAUUUUUGAUAAACCAUUUAACAUUCGUCGAAAUUUUUGUAUUCAAUCUCAUCCCAAAAAUUAAAAAAAAAAAUUGUCUCAUAAAGAUAAUAAGAAAUAUCAAUAAAUUUUAUGAACAUAUAGUAAUGAAGAUGAUAGUAAUCAUAUUGAUUAUAAUUUUUUAAUAGUUUUGAAACAAGGAUGUGAUUGUGUUUGUCCUUUUGUUCAUAUUUUUUUAAUAUUCAUCUUUGAAGGCUCAUAUUAAAAAUAUUUUAAAUUAUUUCCAUUAUAUUGUGAUCAUGCUAAAUAAUGAACUCUAUUACUAACCAAUAAAUGAUUUUUUUUUAAUAUGUCUUAUGACACUCGUUAUAGUUACAAAGAAAUUGCAAUAGUGAAUUCAUCUAUUUUAGAAUAAUUACAAAAAAAUAAUGCUGACAAAUAUUUUAAAAAACUAAACUAAAUAAUAAAAAACUUAAUGUAGAUACUUUAAAUUUUUUGCAAGUAAUUUCAUCCUGAAUAUUCUAAACAUUUCAAAGCUUACCAAAAAUAAUCAUGCAUAAAAGUACUACGUAGACACCUAAAUUCUCACGAGAUUACAAAAUAGUGAGAAAAGU
rnacentral:lncRNA from 1 species